GUUUUCGGGUAAUCGCGGUCUGACUUGAUCAGGCUGAGGAAAGUCCAUGCUCGCACAGGCUGUGAUGCCUGUAGUGUUCGUGCUUAGCGAAACCAUAAGCUAAGGUACUCUUUGGAGUAACGGCAGGAAAACAAGCUAAGGCUUCGGCUAUGCUUAAGUAUCCUUGAAAGUGCCACAGUGACGAAGCGGCUGGGGAAACCCAUCCGGUGGAACGCGGUAAACCCCUCGAGCGAGCAACCCAAACAAUGGUAGGGGCGCUUUUUGUCUGGAAGAAGAACAGGACAAAAAGGCAGUAUAACUGC
rnacentral:RNase_P_RNA from 1 species